GAGAGUUUGAUCCUGGCUCAGAACGAACGCUGGCGGCGUGCCUAACACAUGCAAGUCGAACGGAAUGAAGGGGCUUGCUCUUUCAUAGUGGCGCACGGGUGAGUAACGCGUGGAUAACCUGCCCUGGUAUCUGGGAUAACAUCUCGAAAGGGGUGCUAAUACCGGAUAAGCCUACGGACUCCUCGGAGUCUGCAGGAAAARGAGGCCUCUAUUUAUAAGCUUCCGUAUCAUGAUGGGUCCGCGUACCAUUAGCUAGUUGGUGGGGUAAUGGCCUACCAAGGCGACGAUGGUUAGCUGGUYUGAGAGGAUGAUCAGCCACACUGGAACUGAGACACGGUCCAGACUCCUACGGGAGGCAGCAGUGGGGAAUUUUGCGCAAUGGGGGAAACCCUGACGCAGCAACGCCGCGUGAGUGAUGAAGGCUUUCGGGUCGUAAAGCUCUGUCAGAGGGGAAGAAAUGAAACGUGCUAAUAUCACGUUUUCUUGACGGUACCCUCAAAGGAAGCACCGGCUAACUCCGUGCCAGCAGCCGCGGUAAUAC
rnacentral:rRNA from 2 species